rnacentral:rRNA from 1 species
GACGAACGCUGGCGGCAUGCCUCAUACAUGCAAGUCGAACGCCCCGCAAGGGGAGUGGCGGAAGGGUGAGUAACGCGUGGGAAUCUGCCUUGGAUUGCGGAAUAACCCGAGGAAACUUGGGCUAAUACCGCAUAUUGCCGAAAGGUGAAAGAUUUAUCGAUCCAAGAUGAGCCUGCGUAUGAUUAGCUAGUUGGUAGGGUAAUGGCCUACCAAGGCAACGAUCAUUAGCUGGUCUGAGAAGAUGAUCAGCCACAAUGGAACUGAGAUACGGUCCAUACUUCUACGGAAGGCAGCAGUAGGGAAUUUUGCGCAAUGGACGAAAGUCUGACGCAGCAAUGCCGCGUGUAGGAAGAAGCAUCUUGGUGUGUAAACUACUGGUCGGGACGGGGAAAAAACAAAAUGAUUGUACCCGCAAAGGAAGCAUCGGCUAACUACGUGCCAGCAGCCGCUAGU